rnacentral:rRNA from 1 species
ACGGGAGGCAGCAGUGGGGAAUAUUGCACAAUGGGCGGAAGCCUGAUGCAGCGACGCCGCGUGAGGGAUGACGGCCUUCGGGUUGUAAACCUCUUUCAGCCGGGACGAAGGCCUUUGGGUUGACGGUACCGGCAGAAGAAGCGCCGGCCAACUACGUGCCAGCAGCCGCGGUAAGACGUAGGGCGCGAGCGUUGUCCGGAUUUAUUGGGCGUAAAGAGCUCGUAGGCGGCUUGUCGCGUCGACUGUGAAAACCCGCGGCUCAACUGCGGGCUUGCAGCCGAUACGGGCAGGCUAGAGUUCGGUAGGGGAGACUGGAAUUCCUGGUGUAGCGGUGAAAUGCGCAGAUAUCAGGAGGAACACCGGUGGCGAAGGCGGGUCUCUGGGCCGAUACUGACGCUGAGGAGCGAAAGCGUGGGGAGCGAACAGGAUUAGAUACCCUGGUA